AACGAACGCUGGCGGCAUGCCUAACACAUGCAAGUCGAACGAGACCUUCGGGUCUAGUGGCGCACGGGUGCGUAACGCGUGGGAACCUGCCCUUAGGUUCGGAAUAACUCCCCGAAAGGGGUGCUAAUACCGGAUAAUGUCUUCGGACCAAAGAUUUAUCGCCUUUGGAUGGGCCCGCGUUGGAUUAGCUAGUUGGUAGGGUAAAAGCCUACCAAGGCGACGAUCCAUAGCUGGUCUGAGAGGAUGAUCAGCCACACUGGGACUGAGACACGGCCCAGACCCCUCGGGGAGGCAGCAGGGGGAAAUAUUGAACAAGGGGGAAAGGCCGAAUCCAGCAUUGCCGCGUGAGUAAUAAAGGCGUUAGGGUUGAAAAGCUUUUUUACCCGGGAUGAUAAUGACGGUCCCGGGAAAAAAGGCCCCGGCUAACCCCGUG
rnacentral:rRNA from 1 species